UUCCUCUUGCAACAGAGUCGUCGAGAUGUUAUUCUCCUACUUCUUCGACUCCUCUUGAGGAGAGCUAGAGACUAUUCGAAGCUAGCUUAGAAAUCGUGGAACCAUCCUUUCUUUCUCCUGUUUGGUUACUGGUGAUUUGCAGAUAUAUAAUUAUAAGAUUUGGAUCCUACCUCCGCCACUGCGCCGCCCCCGCACCCAACAAAGAAAUGAGACCAAACAGAUAUGAAAUCGAACUGAUGAAAGGCCUGCUGAAUGACCAUGGUUAAUUUCAAGAUAAUACAAAAUACUGAGGAAAGGAGAUUACACAAAUCACACAAUUGAGAAUUGAAAGCACAUAAAACAACAAGUUUCUCCACUAAAUUUAUUUAUUUUGUUCAAAU